rnacentral:rRNA from 1 species
GAUGAACGCUAGCGGCAGGCCUAAUACAUGCAAGUCGAACGGGAUCCAGAUCAAAGCUUGCUUUGGUUUGGUGGGAGUGGCGCACGGGUGCGUAACGCGUGAGCAACCUACCCUUGUCAGGGGGAUAGCCCGGCGAAAGUCGGAUUAAUACCGCAUGACAUCAUUGAGAGGCAUCUUUCGAUGAUCAAAGAUUUAUCGGACAAGGAUGGGCUCGCGUGACAUUAGCUAGUUGGUAAGGUAACGGCUUACCAAGGCUACGAUGUCUAGGGGCUCUGAGAGGAGAAUCCCCCACACUGGUACUGAGACACGGACCAGACUCCUACGGGAGGCAGCAGUAAGGAAUAUUGGUCAAUGGACGGAAGUCUGAACCAGCCAUGCCGCGUGCAGGAAGACGGCCCUAUGGGUUGUAAACUGCUUUUAUACGGGAACAAACGUCGGUACGUGUACCGGUCUGAGUGUACCGUAAGAAUAAGGAUCGGCUAACUCCGUG